CUGCUUAAGAAUUACCCAGGAAAGUUCCCUGUCUGUAGAAUUCGUGUCGGCACAGAAACAUUAGCAGACCCUUAAAUAUUUUUUAAUAAGUGUAAUGAUAGUGAUGUUUAGACAGAAAAUACUGAAUGUUUGUGUCCCCCUCUAAAUUCAUAUGUUGAAGGCCCCAAAACAAUACGAAGGUAUUUAGAAAUGAGGACUUUAGGAGGUGAUUGGGAUUAGAUUAGGUCCUGAGAGUGGGGCCCUCGUGAUGGGAGUAACGCUUUUAUAAAAGGAAGGGACACUAGAUUCCCCCCACCUCUGUGAGGUCUUAAUAAGGAGAAGACCACCAGCUGCAAACCAGAAAGAGUCUCACCAGAUCCGACCACGGCAUUCUGUUCCAGCAACCUGAAAUAAGGCCAGUGCUCCGAUGCUUCUAGACUGGCUGCUGGAUCAUUAUGGACUAGAAAUUGAAAGAAUUACUUGAGAGAGGAGCAGCAUGGCUGAAAAUCCAAGACCCAGGGUGUGUGGUGUUUGAAGAAGGCAUCUCACCUCCUUAUAUUAGGGGUGUUAGCUGUAAGGAGUCACACAAGUCAGAGCUGCACUGCCCAUUCCAGUUGGGGGAAUUAAUUCUGCCAGGACCUUCUGGUGCCAGCCAGGGCAGGAAGUUCUUAGGCCUUUAGACAGGCCCUGGACAUCAGGGUGCAGCCCGGAGAAGCAGUAUGGUGCAGUGGUUGACAGAAUGGAUUUUUACAACUGAACAGAUUUGUGCUAAAACCCCACUGAGCAAAUUCUACUGCAAAUCUUGGAACUACAGUCUCCUAAUAUGUUAAAUGGAAGUUUGCAAGCCCAGUAAGGAGAUUCUUAAUUAGAAGGUUUAUUUAACCUUAAUAUACUAACUUCUGUAAGACAGUGAAAAACAUUGUGGAUCUAGUAUCUCAGAAGAUGAAAUGGACCAUUUCAUUUUUUUCUGAAAUGACAACAAAGCAGAGCCCAAGUUGUCAGUGUCUCCUGUCACCAUGAACCAUCUACUCCAGAUGCUACCAAUCCCCUUUAAUUUUUUUAUUAGUAAGAUAUGUGAGAUGGAGGUCGCUUUCUGUGUAAAUCUCCCCGUGUCCCUUCCCAGACAGUUUUUCCUUCUGCCUUGGAAUAUUCCUUCAAUGUGCCAUGUAAUCAAGAAGGAACCCAGUGAGAAAAGGUACAUUUUGCAGAAUAUUGGCUAAUUUAAAUUCUUAAAAUAACAGGAAGCUGAAAAUGUUUGCUGAUCCUACUGAAGUUAGUGUUGAGUCAAGGGGUCAUUUUAAUCGAUCCCAGCUGAGCACCACCAAGUAGAAAUCCAGUAUCAGUUCCCUAGUCCCAGUGAGCACCUGGGACCUCUUAAGGAGUGUGUGGUGGGGAAGGAUAGGAGUAAAAUAACAGGUCUUUGUCAUGAGACACUCAUGGGCUUAUUUCCUGUCAAGAUAUGUAAUGUGUAUAUGAUUUAGGACUUCUUAUGAAAAUUCUCUGGGCUAUAACAUUCUCAUGUAAAUAAUGUAAAUAAUAGGGCAUCUGUAGGGGGGGUCACUGCUGUUUCUGCUUGUUUAGGGUUACCAGAUUUAGCAAAUAAAAAUAACACCGAUUUAACUAUGAAUUUCAGAUGAUCAUAUCAUAGUGGGUGUAUGUCCCAAAUAUUGCUGGAACUUAUUUAUACUAAAAGUUAUGCAAUAUUUAGGACAUACUUAUACUAAAAAAUAUAUUCAUUAUUUGCUGUGAAAUGCAAAUUUAAGCGACUGUCUUAUAUUUUAUUCAGCAACUCUAUGCUUAUUCCAUCCCCCUGUUCCCUGAUAAUUCCUGAUGCUUUUCUGGGGAACUGCCCCUCUCCCCAAAUUAGAUCCAUUUGUUUCAGGUAGAGUAACUAUCGCCUCAGCACUAAACAGGCAAUAGAAUACAGGUUUGGCCAAUCAAGCAUUAAAUUCUCCUUAUCACUGUUUCUUGCUCAGAGCUGGGUGUAUGACCUACAGCAGUCCAGUUAGACUCAAUUCUGGGAUUCAAUGAAACAUCUCAAAAAUUUACUUUCUCUCAGGACUGAUGAGAUACAGAUAUAAGCCUGGAGCUGCUGACAGCUGUUUUGCUAAUAUGAUUUGGGAGACUGCUGGAGAACUGAGCUAGGAUGACACCGUAGACCUCAGAGCUGGAGAGUAAUAUUGUGUCCUCAUGAUCUUAUCUGAGUCCCUGGAUUCACCUGUGACUGCAGCUAGCCUACCCCUACAUCUGUGGUUAUAUGAGCCUGUUUUAUAAACUACUUUUUGAUUUAAGCUAUUUUGAGUUGGAUUUCUACCAACAAUAACCAGAAGUGUUCUGAAAAACCUAGAUCAUCAUCAAAUUUUGUGAGUAUGAAAUGUAAAGUGCUAAACAGGAAAUCUGACACAUUUAAGAUGUUUGGCAAAAAUCUGUCCUGUUCUCCCAAAUACACGUAAAUCCCAAAGCACUGCACACACACACAUUCCCUGUCCUAACAGCGAUAUAUGUGUGCGAAUGGAUGGAUUCAUUCAAAGUUAUUCCUCAAGCCAGAAAUAAACAACUUAGGAAAAAAUUUUUUUUUAGUUUUUUUGAAUUUUACUUGUUUGUUUGUUUAUUUAUUUAUCGAGAGUGAGUGGG